AAAAAUACAGCUAUGGUCAGGAUGCAGACAAGCUCAACUUUAACAGUCAGAAGAGGAAACGCUACACUUGGUUAAUCCAUUUAGAAGCCAGCUCUCAACUUGAUUAUUUUCUGUUAUGUAGACCUCCUGGGUGAGCAUUGUUCAAUUUCCAUGGAGGACUGAUCUCCAAACUAUACCAAAAAAACUUCAAGAAACUUGACAUCAAAAGAACAAAUAGUCCAAUUAAAAAUGGGGUACAGACCUAAACAAAGAACUCUCAACAGGCAAAUCUCAAAUGACUGAAAGACCCGUAAGGAUAUGCUCAACAUUCUUAGCCAUCAGAGAAAUGCAAGUCGAAACAACUCUGAGAUUCCGUCUUAUACCUGUCAGAAUAACCAAGAUAAAAAACACUGAAUUCUGUAAAGGGUCUGGGGUAAGGGGGAAUGCUCCUUCAUUGCUGGUGCGAGUGCACACUUGUAUAGCCACUUUGGAAAUUAGUAUGGUGAUUUCUCAGAAAAUUAGGAAACAAUCUACCUCAAGACCCAGCAAUACCACUUUGGGGUAUAUACCCAAAGGAUGCUCAAUCACACCACAAGGAAAUGAGCUCAACUAUGUUUAUAGCAGCAUUAUUUGUAAUAGCCAGAACCUGGAAACAACCUAGAUGCCCUUCAACGAAGAAUGGAUAAAGAAAACAAACAUGGUACAUUUACACAAUGGAAUACUACACAGCAGUAGAAAAAAAUAAUGACAUUUAAAAAUUUGUGGGCAAAUAGAUGAAUCUAGAAAAAAACCAUAUUCAGUGAGGUAACCCAGACCCAGAAAGACAAAAACCAAUAAGACAAAACAACAAAAACAAACAAAGCAAAAAGAAACCAAAAAUUCAUAAAAUACCACUG